rnacentral:rRNA from 1 species
UACGUAGGGUGCAAGCGUUAAUCGGAAUUACUGGGCGUAAAGCGUGCGCAGGCGGUUAUGCAAGUCAGAUGUGAAAUCCCCGGGCUUAACCUGGGAACCGCAUUUGUGACUGCCUAGCUGGAGUACGGAAGAGGGGGAUGGAAUUCCGCGUGUAGCAGUGAAAUGCGUAGAUAUGCGGAGGAACACCGAUGGCGAAGGCAGUCCCCUGGGCCGGUACUGACGCUCAUGCACGAAAGCGUGGGGAGCAAACAGG